UGCGUAGGCGGGGCAAUUAGUCAGUGGUGAAAUCCUGCGGCUUAACCGUAGAACUGCCAUUGAUACUGUUGCCCUUGAGUAUAGUUGAAGUGGGCGGAAUGUGUAAUGUAGCGGUGAAAUGCAUAGAGAUUACACAGAACACCAAUUGCGAAGGCAGCUCACUAAGCUAAAACUGACGCUGAGGCACGAAAGCGUGGGGAGCGAACAGGAUUAGAUACCCUGGUAGUC
rnacentral:rRNA from 1 species